GACGAACGCUGGCGGCGUGCCUAAUACAUGCAAGUUGAGCGCUGAAGGUUGGUACUUGUACCAACUGGAUGAGCAGCGAACGGGUGAGUAACGCGUGGGGAAUCUGCCUUUGAGCGGGGGACAACAUUUGGAAACGAAUGCUAAUACCGCAUAAAAACUUUAAACACAAGUUUUAAGUUUGAAAGAUGCAAUUGCAUCACUCAAAGAUGAUCCCGCGUUGUAUUAGCUAGUUGGUGAGGUAAAGGCUCACCAAGGCGAUGGUACAUAGCCGACCUGAGAGGGUGAUCGGCCACAAUGGGACUGAGACACGGCCCAAACUCCUACGGGAGGCAGCAGUAGGGAAUCUUCGGCAAUGGACGAAAGUCUGACCGAGCAACGCCGCGUGAGUGAAGAAGGUUUUCGGAUCGUAAAACUCUGUUGGUAGAGAAGAACGUUGGUGAGAGUGGAAAGCUCAUCAGGUGACGGUAACUACCCAGAAAGGGACGGCUAACUACGUG
rnacentral:rRNA from 1 species